GACGAACGCUGGCGGCGUGCUUAACACAUGCAAGUCGAACGGAACUCUUUGGAUCGAGACUUCGGUCAAGUGAAUCUGAGUUUAGUGGCGGACGGGUGAGUAACGCGUGAGGAACCUGCCUUUCAGAGGGGGACAACAGUUGGAAACGACUGCUAAUACCGCAUAACGCAUAUUGAUCGCAUGGUCUAUAUGCCAAAGAUUUAUCGCUGAAAGAUGGCCUCGCGUCUGAUUAGCUAGUUGGUGAGGUAACGGCCCACCAAGGCGACGAUCAGUAGCCGGACUGAGAGGUUGACCGGCCACAUUGGGACUGAGAUACGGCCCAGACUCCUACGGGAGGCAGCAGUGGGGAAUAUUGGGCAAUGGGCGCAAGCCUGACCCAGCAACGCCGCGUGAAGGAAGAAGGCUUUCGGGUUGUAAACUCUUUUGUCAGGGAAGAGUAGAAGACUGUACCUGGCGAAUAAGCCACGGCUAACUACGUG
rnacentral:rRNA from 1 species